rnacentral:rRNA from 1 species
AGCAGCCGCGGUAAUUCCAGCUCCAAUAGCGUAUAUUAAAGUUGUUGCAGUUAAAAAGCUCGUAGUUGGAUUUCGGGAUCAGCAGGUUGGUCGUGCCUCUGGUAUGCACUGGUUUCGCUGAUUCCUCCUUUCUGAAGAACUGUAAUGUCAUUAAUUUGGUGUUGCAGGGAAACAGGACUGUUACUUUGAAAAAAUUAGAGUGUUUAAAGCAGGCUAACGCUUGAAUACAUUAGCAUGGAAUAAUGAAAUAGGACGUUUGAUCCUAUUUUGUUGGUUUCUAGGAUUGACGUAAUGAUUAAUAGGAAUAGUUGGGGGCAUUAGUAUUCAAUUGUCAGAGGUGAAAUUCUUGGAUUUAUUGAAGACUAACUACUGCGAAAGCAUUUGCCAAGGAUGUUUUCAUUAAUCAAGAACGAAAGUUAGGGGAUCGAAGACGAUCAGAUACCGUCGUAGUCUUAACCAUAAACUAUGCCGACUAGGGAUCGGAUGAUGUUAAUUUUUUAAUGACUCA